rnacentral:rRNA from 1 species
CCUGGCACCUCCCGGGGUGGCCAGCCUUGCUGAAUUAUUCCACCCGUGUCUUUUGCGUACUUCUUGUUUCCUUGGUGGGCUCGCCCACCACAAGGACCAACCCAUAAACCUUUUUGCAAUGGCAAUCAGCGUCAGUAACAAUGUAAUAAUUUACAACUUUCAACAACGGAUCUCUUGGUUCUGGCAGAAGAACGCAGCGAAAUGCGAUAAGUAGUGUGAAUUGCAGAAUUCAGUGAAUCAUCGAAUCUUUGAACGCACAUUGCGCCCUUUGGUAUUCCAAAGGGCAUGCCUGUUCGAGCGUCAUUUGUACCCUCAAGCUUUGCUUGGUGUUGGGCGUCUUUUUGUCUCCCCUUGCGGGAGACUCGCCUUAAAGUCAUUGGCAGCCGGCCUACUGGUUUCGGAGCGCAGCACAAGUCGCGCUCUCUUCCAGCCCCAAGGUCUAGCAUCCACCAAGCCUUUUUUUUCAACUUUUGACCUCGGAUCAGGUAGGGAUACCCGCUGAACUUAAGCAUAUCAAA